ensembl:miRNA
AAUGUUUGUUUGGAUGUUUUGUAAUAGCUUAGAAAACACUCGAACAAACAUUUU